rnacentral:misc_RNA from 1 species
CGAAACCAAAUACUCUGACAUGUUUCUACGAAGCAUUUCUGCCAUACGUAAGGCUAUAAAUUCCAGCAACGGCAAGACCAAUUCAAUACACACCGUCUCUCGCCGACUUGUCCCGUGCGGACCAAACCCACUUCACAACUGAUUGUUUUAAAAUAAAUUCCUAUCGGUUUUCAUCUGUGGGAUGUACAUAAAUACUCUGUUUGUCUUUGAUUUUGUAGAAUAAAGAUAUACUUUCCACAAGAGCAGAAACUGUUCGAAAAUUGCAGGUUACAGGCUUUUUUAGUUGAUAUUGG